rnacentral:rRNA from 1 species
CAGUAGCCGCGGGAAUACAGAGGGUGCGAGCGUUAAUCGGAUUUACUUGGCGUAAAGCGUGCGUAGGCGGCUUUUUAAGUCGGAUGUGAAAUCCCUGAGCUUAACUUAGGAAUUGCAUUCGAUACUGGGAAGCUAGAGUAUGGGAGAGGAUGGUAGAAUUCCAGGUGUAGCGGUGAAAUGCGUAGAGAUCUGGAGGAAUACCGAUGGCGAAGGCAGCCAUCUGGCCUAAUACUGACGCUGAGGUACGAAAGCAUGGGGAGCAAACAGGAUUAGAUACCCCAGUAGUCCCUGUCUCUUAUAC